UACGGAGGGUGCAAGCGUUAUCCGGAUUUACUGGGUUUAAAGGGUGCGUAGGUGGGUCUGUAAGUCAGUGGUGAAAUCUCCGGGCUCAACCCGGAAACUGACAUUGAUACUAUAGAUCUUGAAUAUCCUGGAGGUGAGCGGAAUAUGUCAUGUAGCGGUGAAAUGCUUAGAUAUGACAUAGAACACCAAUUGCGAAGGCAGCUCACUACGGGAUCAUUGACACUGAGGCACGAAAGCGUGGGGAUCAAACAGG
rnacentral:rRNA from 1 species